GACGUAGGAUGCAAGCGUUGUCCGGAUUUAUUGGGCGUAAAGAGUUCGUAGGUGGUUCGUUAAGUCUGAUGUUAAAGACUGGGGCUCAACCCUGGAAGUGCAUUGGAUACUGGCGGACUUGAGUGUGGUAGAGGCAAUCGGAAUUCCAGGUGUAGCGGUGAAAUGCGUAGAUAUCUGGAAGAACACCGGUGGCGCAAGCGGAUUGCUGGGCCAUAACUGACGCUGAGGAACGAAAGCUAGGGGAGCGAAUGGG
rnacentral:rRNA from 1 species